CAGUAUGCAUUAAUUAUUAUUCAUUUUAAUAUACUUUUUAUACCUAAUUGAAUACUAUCAUUAUACUUAUGUACUAUAGUAAUCAAUUUUUAUCUAUACAUAAAACUUAUAUUCUUAGCUUUUAAACUUAAUUAUUAUUUACUAAUAGGCAUGUAUAAUACAGGUUUAUUAUCAACGUUUAUAUUUUACCUAACUACUAUAUUUUUCCUAACUACAUCUCACAUU